AUGCCGCCGCCGCCGACGACGAUGACAUCGGCGACGGCACCGUCUCUGCCGUACGAGCUCCUCGAGGAGGUCUUCCUCCGCCUCCCGCCGGAGGAGCCCGCGCUCCUCGCGCGCGCCUCCUUCGCCAGCAAGUUCUGGCUCGGCCUCCUCUCCGGCCCUCGCUUCCGCCGUCGCUACGGCGAGUUCCAUGGAGCGCCCCCCGUGCUGGGGUUCCUUUGUUGCCGGCCUUGUUCCAUCUUCCCGGACGAGCAGGAGGAACCCGUGGCAAGCUUCGUCUCCACCACGAAAUUCGCCGAGCGCGCUCCCGACGACGACGACCGUGGGUACACUCCGUGGGACUGCCGCCAUGGCCGCGUUCUCCUGGGGAAUCGUUAUAAACAUGAUAUGGGGCUCAUCGUUUGGAACCCAAUUACUGGCCGCCGGACGAAGCUGAAAUCGCCCGCACGCCAUUGGGUGGCCGCGGUGCUCUGCGCUGUGAGCGGCUGUGACCACCGCGCUUGCCAUGAGGGCCCCUUCCGGGUGGUCUUCGUCGGCCUGGACAGGAGCGAUCAUGAUGACGAUGAUCAUGAUGACGAUGAUUGAAUUCUCAAGUACGACUUGGGUUCCAACUGCUUAUCGCUGAUUGACGGGCCACCACCGGAGGGGUUUACCAUUUGCCCUACUGCUGUCCUCAUGGCGAUGGCAGAUGGCAGUUUGGGGUUUGCACAUGUGGACAGCUUAACCCUCUGCCUGUGGUCAAGGCAUACGGGUUCCGAUGGAGCUGCGUCAUGGGCUGAGCGUGCAAUCAUCGAUCUCAAAAACCAUCUCCCCAUUCAAAAUCCCGGGAUAAGACUUAGACCGACUGGAUCUGUGGAGGGCAGUGAUAUCAUUUUCGUGACCACAGACCUUGGCAUCUACGAGAUUAAUCUCAAGUCACUACAGUGGAAGAAGCUAUGGAAGAGAGAGAACGUCCGGUACUUCUUUGCUUUGAUUCCGUACAUGAGUUUCUACACUCCACAAGGUUUGCAGAAUGAUGGCGAUAGGAAGAAACUGCCGGAGGGAACAUCUGCGCUUCAACAGACAGCGGUGCGAGCUCAUGAUGCAGUGGGCGCGGCACCGGCUGGUGGUCUGCCAAGAAUCACUGAGGCUGGGGAAGAAGAUCUUGAAAUAUGA
rnacentral:rRNA from 1 species